CGGCGGCGGCGGCGGCGGCCGAGACACAGGGCCUGUCCUACCGGGAGUGCUGCCACUAACGUCGGCAGGGGCCGCGGUGGGCUUGCAGAGGACUACCGGGCAACUCGGCCGUGAAAGUCCGGGUCCCGAACGGAGAAAAAGAGCGCGGGCCGCGGGGCGGAGCCUUUGUAGAGGUUAUCGCGGGAACAGCGACCCCUUCAGGAUCGCCGCGGGGCGCGCCGGGAGCUUGGCCAGUUCCGCCUCGGGGAGGGUCGUGUUCGUUGUCAGGUGCGCGCCGCUGGGCGGCUGAGGCGCUGCGGUUUGCAAUUAAGCCCCUGAGAACCAAGAGCAGAGGCAACCCAAAUCCCACCUUUUUGUUUUAAGUGAAAAUGUGGAAGUUGUAGCAUAAAAUUACAGUAUCUGUGAAAUUAGAACCAGCAGCUCCCUGUCAUCUUGUAGCACCCGCGCCCCGCUGGUCCCUGACGCCUGGAUGGCACUUGGCGAACGUUUGCAGUAUAGGGUCGAAUUUAAUGUCCCCACCGAGCCUGUUGUUCAUUCAUUCAGCAUUAUUGAGUAUCUGCCGUGUACCAGGAUUGAAUCAUGUGCUGGAGAUACCACGCUGAACAAGACUGUCCCUGCCCUCAGGAAGCUCUCAGUUCGGUUACUUGACAACCUUCAGAGACACCCUCUUCCCCCUGCUCCAAUUUUGUUUCUAUUUGCUGCCACAAGGAUUUUGUGACUGCCUAACGUGCUGGAUUACAAGAUCAACACUAGGUGCAUACUUGGUGCGAAAUACGGUGCCCAGGACACCAAGUGCCGGGUGGAGAACGUAUAAGAUGUUUCCUUUACACAAGUUGGAAAGAUGGAUACUCCCCAAAUUACAGCUCAAACCAUGUGACAGCUUGCUCAAGCAUCUUCAGUCUCCAUUGCCUACCAAUAUAAGGCAUUGAGAAUCCAAAGAGACUGAAAACUUUGCCUAGAUCACAUGGCUUCUUAUGACUGGUUGCCUGGCUCCCAUGCCCUCCUCAGUUUGCUGAAAGAAGAGAAUUCAGGUGAUCUGAUCACACAUGCAAAAAGCCAGCUCCAAAUUGUGGUCCAGAUCAUAUCAUAUACAAAUUUGAGACUACCAUCCAGAAGACCAAGACUCAAUCAACGUACCGUCAUGCUUCCAGACUUAUCAAGGACUAAACACACAAUUCUUUGUCUGAUCUGCAACAAUGAGAAGGUGGGCUUCGGUGGCUGUGUUGUCAUAGGAGUGGUUUUCUUAAAGUCCUCCGAACCUUGGAUCACUUCCCAUGUGCUUCGGAGAUUGCAUUUUUUGUUUUGCUCGUUUGGGGCUUCUUUAUUGUGGUUUUUUUCUGUACAGAAUUCAACCACCUGAAAUUGUCAAUAAAAUGAUAUAGAUAACAGUAAA